rnacentral:lncRNA from 1 species
GAUCCUUCUUGGUUGGAUAGCAGUAGUUUACAGUCAAGAAAUUAGCAAAUUUUCAACAAGAAAGUGUCAGGUCCCUGGCGGUGACUUAGGAACAAAGCACCAAGCAGCUGCACGGGCACCAUCGAGGGAACCACCUGUCAAUCAGCAGGGUCUCCUGGCCAAUCCUGGAUCUCAGCCAGUUCCCCCAUCAACUCCACUGGGACAAGGAACUCUAAAAAUCCCUUUUCCUGUCCCAAACCCUUAGCUUUCUGCGAUAAGCCCCAGAGCCCCCAUGCAGUUGAGCCCCCGCGUGGUUUCUCCUCAGACCCUCUUCCUAUCCACUCUGUCGGUCUGAUAGAGUUAUGCCCGGGAGUGACAUCUGGUAGGGUGCAUGCUUAGCGAGCACAGGGCUUUGGGUUCAAUCCACAAACCAUACACAAAUUGAAAUUACAGCUGAGCAUGGUGGUACACGCCUAUAAUCCCAGCAACUCCAGAGGCUGAGGUAGGAGGAUCAUAAAUUUUAAGAGGCAAGCCUCAACAAUUUACCAAACUUUAGCAGGACCCUGUCUCAAAGUUCAAAAAUGAAAAGAGCUGAGGAUGCAGCCCAGCAGGCACUUUACCACGGAGCUCCCUCCCCAGUACCCAAACAAAAUCAUAAAAAAGGUAGCACUUUAUUACUGAUAAACCACUUUAGAAAGUGUAAUGUAAGGAAAGAAGCAAAUGAAGGAAAUAAAGAAAAAGGAGAAACAGCUCAACUCAGGGUUAUUCAGGACAGACCUGUGGAGCGGGGUCCAGUGCACACCGAGACCAUAGGGAGUGGGGGAGGGGGAGGAGGCCAUGGCCACGGGGCUGUCAGGGAAGUGUCCUUGCGCUGGCUAUUAAGGUGGCUGGCGCAAAUAUCCGCCAGAGACACAUCUCUGAGUUCAAGCAAAGGUUUAUUGACAGAGAAUGUUGGCUAGACUGCCCUUCCGCAGGGUGCAGCCGCCUGCUGGGAAAAAACUUCUCAAUUAUACAGUCAAGUACAAUGGAAGUGGUUAAAAAGAACCCGUCUGGUCCUGUGAGGUUUUUGCUAUGGUUUCUGGAGUUAGGGACUCUUUUGGGGUCCUAAUAGGAAAGCCAUGUCUGGGUGGCCGGGUGCUGAUUUUCAAAAUGGAGUUGCUUUGGCCUAAGGACCCAGCGGUGUCACCUUCAUAAGGAACUAGGUGUUUUUAUGACCUCAGUCCCAGAUAACAAUUUCCUUUCUACAAUUCGGAUGGAGAGUUUGGGGUUUCUUUGCAGAGUGAGGCAGUAUGUCUGGGGUUUAGGUCAGGCUGAGUCAGUGACUGUGAGGUGACUCUUUCCCAAGAUGAAGGACAUGUUUCAAAAUGGUGUUGCCUACGUCAAGUUCUACCUAACAGCUAAAUCCCAUUUUUCAUCACGAAGCAUAUGCCUACAGAAACUAAAAGCAAAUAAUUAUGUAAUUCCAGACUGUAGUGUGCUAGACACAUAAAAGAUAGAAGUUCCUUCUAUUUGGAUCCUGAAUUUGUGAUCAAGGAAGAUAGAUGAAACUCUGAAAUAAGACUGCCGCUGCAUUGAGCUUGUACCACGAGCCGGAUGCCAAGUGUGUUCGAGUGUCAAGUGUGUUCGAGUUUCGGGUUGGUCACUCUCAUCUCAUGUCUGAAAACAACCUUGAGGGGAGUAUUGUCCUCAUCCUCGUUUUACACCCCGGGCUGGACUCCUGAGGCUUGGAGAGGUCCUGUGUAUCUCUUGAAGUUGCGGACCUAUCUGUUGCCAAAGAUCAUUCUUACAAUUUUAUUUAUUCAUUUAUUCAUUCAUUCAUCCAACCAAUAUUUAUCAGAUCUCCGUGUGCCAAGCACCACGCUGUAAGCUGGAGAUACAAGAAUGAAGAGAGGGGCUGGGGAUGUAGCCCAGUGGUAGAGUGUGCCUAGCUGCAAGAGGUUCCAGCAGAGAGAGAGAGAGAGAGAGAGAGAGAGAGAGAGAGAGAGAGAGAGGAUUCUUCCUCCCCAGACAAAUGGAGACACCUAUAGCCAUAAUUUCCAGCUUCACGUCAACACCAGUGGACCCUGUCAAGAGUUAGUCCCAUGAAUCCUUUCUCUUGACAUAUUUCCCAAUUAGCUCUUUUUGCUUCUGUUUCUUUUCUACAAAUUGACUAUCACACUUUGCUUUCUUGUUUACUUUGGAAGUAGUUUAAAGAAGACUCUAAAGUAAUUUAAAGAACACCUGUGACCUUGCCUGCAGGUCAUCGCUCAUUGCUAGCUACUAUCUAACAGUGGGACUCCCUAAUUCCUCAGUGACUGCAAGGGCACCUUCACUGGUCUUCGUAUUUGUUGUAUCUGUUGUUGUCAAGGAGGAAACAAAGGAUGUUAUAACAAAGGAUGAGCCCAGGGCCUCAAGUCAUAAGAUGUGUGUCAAUCCUGGAUGCCUCUGGGAGGGGGGAAACCUGUUGGGACUCCAGCAGGCCCAGGAGAGCUGGGUGCCUGGCUUGGUCCUGGAGCCAGGCAUUCUUAGGAAGGUACAAGCCAUGUCUUGUCUUGAUUAUGGUGAAGAAAACAAACCUUAUUGUCAGAACAGCCUCAGAGGGUGACGCCCUGUGCUCUAAUUUUCUCCACUCCUUUUGCAGUUGAAUACCUGAGCUGCUCAAUGAUGUGGAACCUUCUGAAGUCUUCCCACGACUACAUCCUCUGCAGGUGUUUUGGUCAGAACCUCAUUGAAAUAUGGCAGCUAAAAUCCUACACAGAAAGUUCUCCGUAAAGCAAUGGGAAGUUUGGGGAGCCAUCUCUAACACAUCAAAAGUGCUUCUCAAAGAGAAAUGAUUAUCUGAACAUUUUAUCUGCAGGAAACCUUUGGUGAUCACUCCAGCUGGCCUUCGUAUCCAUGGAUUCUGCAUCUGUAGAU